rnacentral:rRNA from 4 species
CUUUGUGGUUCAUGACUGGGGUGAAGUCGUAACAAGGUAGCGCUAGGGGAACCUGGCGCUGGAUCACCUCCUUA